GUGGGGAAUAUUGCACAAUGGGCGCAAGCCUGAUGCAGCAACGCCGCGUGAGGGACGACGGCCUUCGGGUUGUAAACCUCUUUUAGAAGGGAAGAAGCGAAAGUGACGGUACCUGCAGAAAAAGCACCGGCUAACUACGUGCCAGCAGCCGCGGUAAUACGUAGGGUACAAGCGUUGUCCGGAAUUAUUGGGCGUAAAGAGCUCGUAGGCGGCUUGUCGCGUCUGCUGUGAAAACCCGAGGCUCAACCUCGGGCCUGCAGUGGGUACGGGCAGGCUAGAGUGCGGUAGGGGAGAUUGGAAUUCCUGGUGUAGCGGUGGAAUGCGCAGAUAUCAGGAGGAACACCGAUGGCGAAGGCAGAUCUCUGGGCCGUAACUGACGCUGAGGAGCGAAAGCAUGGGGAGCGAACAGGAUUAGAAACCCUUGUAGUCC
rnacentral:rRNA from 1 species